rnacentral:rRNA from 1 species
UCCGUAGCUGGACUGCUAAGUCUCUUGGGAAAUCCGCCGGCUUAACCGGCGGGCGUCUAGGAGAUACUGGUAGUCUAGGGACCGGGAGAGGUGAGAGGUACUCCGGGGGUAGGAGUGAAAUCCUGUAAUCCCUGGGGGACCACCGAUGGCGAAGGCAUCUCACCAGAACGGCUCCGACAGUGAGGGACGAAAGCUGGGGGAGCGAACAGGAUUAGAUACCCUGGUAGUCC